CGGGGGUGGGGGUCAGGAGGAAUGGCUCCCCAGACUCCUGAACAGAGGAUGGUGACCCAAUCAGGGAACACGUCUCAACCCAACAUUGAAAGGACAAAGUUGCGUCUGCAGGCUUCCUCUUAAUUCUAUGGAUCAUGCAAUAGUCUUUCAAGAAAUUAUCUUCUGCUUAGCUAGUCACUUCCUGUUGCUAGAACCAUGAAGAGGCCUGGUGAAAGAUGUUCAGUAUACUACCUGCAUCAGCUGCUACUGCUAUGUGACAAGCAAAUUUUCCAGAAACACUGACAUGGAAACAGGAUCUUUCUUCUCCUACUGUUUGUUCCUCGACUACAGUUAUAAUCCUCUAUUUGUGACAUCAUAAUUAGUUGCCACUGGAGAAGACGAUCGUGUCACAAAAGGAUUAGGACCUAAGCAAUCUCCACUGAUGGAGGCAAGAUGGCUGCCAUGGG
rnacentral:lncRNA from 10 species